GGUGAGUAACGCGUAUCCAACCUGCCCACCACUUGGGGAUAACCUUGCGAAAGUAAGACUAAUACCCAAUGAUAUCUCUAGAAGACAUCUGAAAGAGAUUAAAGAUUUAUCGGUGAUGGAUGGGGAUGCGUCUGAUUAGCUUGUUGGCGGGGUAACGGCCCACCAAGGCGACGAUCAGUAGGGGUUCUGAGAGGAAGGUCCCCCACAUUGGAACUGAGACACGGUCCAAACUCCUACGGGAGGCAGCAGUGAGGAAUAUUGGUCAAUGGACGAGAGUCUGAACCAGCCAAGUAGCGUGCAGGAUGACGGCCCUAUGGGUUGUAAACUGCUUUUAGAAGGGAAUAAAGUGAGUCUCGUGAGACUUUUUGCAUGUACCUUAUGAAUAAGGACCGGCUAAUUCCGUGCCAGCAGCCGCGGUAAUACGGAAGGUCCGGGCGUUAUCCGGAUUUAUUGGGUUUAAAGGGAGCGUAGGCCGGAGAUUAAGCGUGUUGUGAAAUGUAGAUGCUCAACAUCUGCACUGCAGCGCGAACUGGUUUCCUUGAGUACGCACAAAGUGGGCGGAAUUCGUGGUGUAGCGGUGAAAUGCUUAGAUAUCACGAAGAACUCCGAUUGCGAAGGCAGCUCACUGGAGCGCAACUGACGCUGAAGCUCGAAAGUGCGGGUAUCGAACAGGAUUAGAUACCCUGGUAGUCCGCACGGUAAACGAUGGAUGCCCGCUGUUGGUCUGAAUAGGUCAGCGGCCAAGCGAAAGCAUUAAGCAUCCCACCUGGGGAGUACGCCGGCAACGGUGAAACUCAAAGGA
rnacentral:rRNA from 1 species